rnacentral:rRNA from 1 species
UGGGGAAUAUUGCACAAUGGACGGAAGUCUGAUGCAGCAACGCCGCGUGCGGGAUGACGGCCUUCGGGUUGUAAACCGCUUUUUCUCAUGACGAAGUUUUUUGACGGUAGUGGGGGAAGAAGCACCGGCUAACUACGUGCCAGCAGCCGCGGUGAUACGUAGGGUGCGAGCGUUGUCCGGAAUUAUUGGGCGUAAAGAGCUUGUAGGCGGUUUGUCGCGUCGAUAGUGCAAACUCAGUGCUUAACGCUGAGCCUGCUGUUGAUACGGGCAGACUAGAGGAAGGUAGGGGAGAAUGGAAUUCCCGGUGGAGCGGUGGAAUGCGCAGAUAUCGGGAGGAAUACCGGUGGCGAAGGCGGGUCUCUGGGCUGUUACUGACGCUGAGGAGCGAAAGCGUGGGGAGCGAACAGG